GUGUGGUUGUGCUGUUUUGAGUCUCUUUGCUUCCGUAAAUUAUGUCUCUAGUUUCGGUCGGAAUGGGUGCUCUGAGAACGUCAUUUCUUGCAUUGGAUGCAUGGUGUGGUUACUUUGCAAUCAAGAGGUAGGAUUUGUUAAAUAAACUCUCUUUAUCUUCCUGCAGUUAUUGAUGAAUAAUUUGUGAAUGUAAUAUCAUUCACCCGUAUCUUUAUCCUUAAUUUGUUAAUGGUAUUAACCUUUUUGCAGAUUUGCAUUUAAAUGUCAUAGAAAAUCAGAGGCUGGAAGGGACAUUGUGUAUCCAGUAAAUGCAAUUGCAUUCCACCCCGUGUAAGUUACUUUUUUCUAUUAAAGUAUUGCGUACUAAACUUGUGAACUUGUGUGUGUUGAUUUAUUGAAGUCAUGAAAACGAUAGGCCAUAUCUGGUUUCCUGUUGAAGGCAUCUUGUGACUACAAUAAUAACAUAUGGGAAUUUCAUAGUAGUAACUUAGUUCAUGGUUUAUUCUUUGGUUGAAUGGUUCAAAAAAUAAGGAUCAAAAUUGUUCCUUGUUUUUGCGAUAGAUUAUGGCUUAGAUUAUACUUGAUCCGUUAGUUGGGAAUGUUUAAAACCUAAAUUAAGCUCGAGGGGAGCUUAAUAAUUUCAUAUAUACGUAGCUCAUGCUUUAAUAAAGUUUAUCAAGAGAGUUUGAGAAUGAGAUUCUUGUACAUUAUUGACUGUCAUGUUUUCAAGCUAUUUUGCCCUCUCGGGACAAAUUGAAAAGAGCUAUACAUACUUUCGCUUGAUGAGAGUUGCGAUCAUACUGCUUAUUGUAUGAGAGCAAUGAUGCUAGCAGUUUCUUUUUAGUCCACGUGCAUUUCUUUUAUUAGUUCUUUUCUGAAAUUCAAUUGCAGCUAUGGUACUUUGGCUGUUUCUCAGCAGCAGCCAUGUUGGCAAGGCGCCAGGAAUACCUUUACCUGGGGGGUUUGCUUUCUUCUGGCCUUUCUAUGCUAAUUUGGUUACACUUUGCUUCUUCUGUCUUUGGGGGUUUUGCAGCUCUUUUCAAGUUUGAGGUAAGGAAUUAUCAAUUAGUCAUGUGAAUGAUGGGCAAUGCUACAUUUUGUGUAUAAAAGCUAAAACAGGGUGAUAUAUGUGAAGGAAUAUAAUGAGAUUUAUGUGGGAUUUCUAGUGACUAGCAUGCAUAUACAAUUCAAAAUUUAUAUACAUUAGCAACGGAAGCAUGUUAUCACAUAAUAUCAAAGCUAUAGUCAUGCAAAUCCCCUUCAAGAAGCAUAGGUUCAUAUAUGAUGCAUCUAAGAAAUUAUUGAAGAACAAAGUGAAGGUAUAGUUUUAUACCUCUUGAUCUAGACUUGAGACCAAGGAUUGACCACCUUCAAGCUCUUUGUUCUUGGAACUCCUUAAGCCUAGCCUCCCUCCUUGCUUCCUCCACCUUGCUAGAAUGAGUGCUCCUUGGCUCUCCUUUAGUCUCCAAGGUUGAAGACCUCUAAAGAUCCACACCCACUAGUGUAGUGAGAUGGAUGGAGGAAUAACCAAAAGGGAGAGAAGAUGAUUAGCUACUUCUCCCUUAUGGUGGCCGGCCUUGUGUGUGUGUUUGGAGAGAGAGAUGUUUUCUUCUUUUGUGAAAAAUGAACACACAAAACCCUAAUGAAACUUUUUACUAAAAGUUCCUUUUAUAUCUCAAAGAUAGUUAGCCAACAACUUGACUCCCUCUCUCUCCCUUUCCCUUUAUUUGGCCGGCCCCUUUAGUGUUGUUUGGGCUUUGGGCUUUUAUUAUUUCAAGUCAUCAUAUGCUUAAAUAAAAGCCCAAUGGGUUUGGGCUUAAUGGGCCCAUAUUAACCCGAACUUUUCUUUAAGUCCAAAAACGAUCUUUCAUCGCUUCUAUGAUUUCUUUAGACUUUCUAAUUAAUCAUAACACUUAAUUAAUCCAAUUAAUUUAUUCCAUCAUCCAUUAGUUGUCUCAUUACAAGAGUGUAUCGGUGUACAAUUAUUUUGGGUUCUAAUUAGCAAGGUAGUGAGGUGAUUGGCACCAAUCCAAUUGAUUAUAUUUAAUCCAAUCACUUAGUGAAUUAAAACUUACUUUUAAUUCUCCUUCUUCUUUGACGACUACUUAUUUAAUCAUCUAGAAGAACUCACAAGCUAUGAGUGACAUCUAACCAUAUAUCAUGGUUACCCAAGCUAAUGUAGAAUUUGUUCGGAGAACCUAUUCAGUUGGAAUUACAAUGUAAUUCGAUCAUUCUUUAAAACAAUACUCUCAAUCACAUUAUUAGGGUAUGGAUAUAUUAUGUCAAACCCCUAAUGUGAUUAUUCCAUGUUAUAUGAUUCAAUUGAGUCGUAUAGGAACGAUUUCCUUUAUUACGCUCGAUACUUCGGCCGAAUAUUCCCGAAUCAUAUCUUAAAGUAUUCAUCCUCUCAUAACGAGGAUUAGAGAUCCCUUGUUGAUCAUUCACAUGCCUCUGAGAAUAAAUCAUUGACCUCAACAAUGCAUAGAACACACCCAAGAUGAGGUGUGGUCACGUCUCGUUAUCAAAAUGAUCAACAACGUAUCCCCAAGACAACUAUGAUGUCUCAGGUCAAAGAAUUACUUACAUUAUUCCAACCAUUAGAGUUGUUUGCUUCACAUGUAAGUAGACCUCCAUGCAAGUACUCUCGUUCGAUUGUGUUCAGUGAACUCAUUCCCAUAAUGAGCACCUACAUACCUGUCUUAGUGUCACUACACGAAUGGGAUGAGACUUUCCAUCAUUCCAAUUGAAGGGGACAUAGUAUGUACUGGUCUAUGCAUUGUCAGUAUCCCUCUGACAAUCCUAUGACUAGGAACCUUUUUGGACAUGAUGGUUAUGUGAAGAAGGUAUCUGUAGUCUAACAUCAUUAGAUUACUUCUUCCAUCGAUCCAUUGUCCAUGGAUUCACUAUUUAUGACAUAUAUCGUUUAUUGAGACAGUCCUAAUUAGUAUCUUUGCCUUUUGAUGUAUAAGAGUCAUCUAUACACUCAUUCAUUGUCCUGAAAGGUUUCUUCCAAAGAUUGACUUUCAGGGCAUAUCUCCAACAUUCUCUGAAAUUGUGUUGCAGCUGUAUUUCAGUUUUGUUGCUGUGUUUGUCCAUAUACUGGUUAUCAUGGUAAGUUCUCGUUAAUGCUUUAAGAGCAAAAUCCUUAUCUCGGUCUUGUUUUCUAUCAUAUUUAUGACUGUUGGUGCUUAGACCAUCUCCUCUUUUAUUUUAUAUUGUGAGAUGUUAUAUCUGUUAGGCUAAGUAGACUUGUUAACUAAAACGACUAUCGUUUCUUUACCACAGUUGAAGAACUUGGCCGAGAAGAAUGAGAAUAAGAAGAAAAGAAAGGAUUGAUGCUCCUUCUGUAACCCUGGUGAUGCAAAGCAAUGCAAAAUGAGAUCAUCACUUGUCUAUAUAGAGUUUUCCAUGUGACCUCAAAAACAAAAUGUGUAGUUGAUAUAUUCCCUACUCUUUGGUGGGUGGUAGACUGAUAGUGAUUGUCUAGUGUUGCUGCCGUUAAACUUCUACUUACUGUUUUGAAUGACAUCGUUUUAAUUCGUGACGAAGUUUAUUGUUGUGUUAAUAAACUGGCUAGCUCCUCCAUCUGCACUACUUGUAUGUUG
rnacentral:lncRNA from 1 species